GUUUGACAAUACAACUUCAAGUUUGUUAAUUUGCCAGAGAGCUGAGACAACAAAGACAAAUUCCUCUUUGGAAAUCUGCGAAUGAAAGAUCAACGGAAGUGUAUGCUGGGACAUUAGGACUCUUCCGCAAUACGCAAAUUCACAAUUCGAAGAACAAUCUAAAGGACAAGAAGGUGGACGAGAAGAAGAGUGGUCCCUGGACAACGUGGGAAAUCGCAUAGAGGAUUUAACGGAACAAAGAAUGGU